rnacentral:rRNA from 1 species
AGAGUUUGAUCCUGGCUCAGAUUGAACGCUGGCGGCAGGCCUAACACAUGCAAGUCGAGCGGCAGCACGGGUACUUGUACCUGGUGGCGAGCGGCGGACGGGUGAGUAAUGCCUAGGAAUCUGCCUGGUAGUGGGGGAUAACGUUCGGAAACGAACGCUAAUACCGCAUACGUCCUACGGGAGAAAGCAGGGGACCUUCGGGCCUUGCGCUAUCAGAUGAGCCUAGGUCGGAUUAGCUAGUUGGUGAGGUAAUGGCUCACCAAGGCGACGAUCCGUAACUGGUCUGAGAGGAUGAUCAGUCACACUGGAACUGAGACACGGUCCAGACUCCUACGGGAGGCAGCAGUGGGGAAUAUUGGACAAUGGGCGAAAGCCUGAUCCAGCCAUGCCGCGUGUGUGAAGAAGGUCUUCGGAUUGUAAAGCACUUUAAGUUGGGAGGAAGGGCAUUUACCUAAUACGUAAGUGUUUUGACGUUACCGACAGAAUAAGCACCGGCUAACUCUGUGCCAGCAGCCGCGGUAAUACAGAGGGUGCAAGCGUUAAUCGGAAUUACUGGGCGUAAAGCGCGCGUAGGUGGUUCGUUAAGUUGGAUGUGAAAUCCCCGGGCUCAACCUGGGAACUGCAUCCAAAACUGGCGAGCUAGAGUAUGGUAGAGGGUGGUGGAAUUUCCUGUGUAGCGGUGAAAUGCGUAGAUAUAGGAAGGAACACCAGUGGCGAAGGCGACCACCUGGACUGAUACUGACACUGAGGUGCGAAAGCGUGGGGAGCAAACAGGAUUAGAUACCCNNGUAGUCC